rnacentral:lncRNA from 1 species
UGGCAGCUACAUUAUGCACACUUAGCCACUGUAAAGUUUGUUUACAAGAUCCAGCAGAUGAAUACACUGGCUAACAAUUAGUUUCACUCUUAAUCGUGACCCUCACAAAGCUGUUCUCAGCCGGAAGGCAGCGGUGCGUUGCUUCCCCCAUGACGGAGUGCUCGGCUUUAAGCUGAGUUGGCAUGUUGCAGGUCUGGAGUGGCGGCAGCUCUUCACAGAAGCAUCACAAUGAUGCAGAUCAGCAGCAGACAUAUCAAGAUGAGGCAGAAAUUGAUAAAUAGGUUCUGGAGAUUCUGACGUGCUUGCUGAGGCAUUUCAAUAGUGGAGGCUCUCCUGAUAGCCGAGCGAGUGAGGUAUUGCACUUUUUCCAUUAUGCCAGGAAGGCAAAAGUAGGGAGACAAGUUUUUCUAAGUGGUCAAGAGAAAGAUAAAAAGUUGACAACAGGCAGCCAAAUGUGAGCUGUCUUCUUUUAGGAGACCUGGGAUGUAAAAAAUAGUCAACAGAUUAGGUUCAUACCUAAACCCGUUCUCUGGGUAGAUAUGCACAGCUUUGCAGCAGCUCGUUCCUCAGCUGUAUUUUAAAUCCCAUCCCCUUCUCCAGUCCCCAAGGCCUCUCUUCUGUCUCUCAUGUGUGAGCGUCUCACUGUCCUGGGUGAGCGGGGAGAGCCACGGCUUUGGCGGCUAGUACUUGAUUUAUGAGGUGCUUCUUUGGGGCUAUUUUCUUGGUUACUUUUUUUAAAGCUCUGUUUCUCUGUAAACACAAUUGAUUUUAACAUUUACUAUUAAUGUUUCAGAAAUAAUCUUGUAAAAAGAAAUGCAUAUAGUAACAUAUCUUGGAUCCUAGUUUUAGUCCAAAAUAAAAUAGUUAAGUGAAAAAUAUGAAAUAAAAAGCAGAUUCUAGCCACUUGCCAUUCUCUUUUAUGAUUUAUAGAUUUGUAGAAUCAUUCAGUGUAUUUGAUCAUAUAUACAUCCUCCGGACUCCUCCCAGAUCCAGCCUCUUGGUGAAUGUUAUUUUAAACACUUUAAGAAGAUGUUAAGUACUAAAGACUUCCAAACUCAGAAGGCACAGUAAGGACUAUCGUUUUAAACUAUCACAGUGCCAGUUUUCAGCUAAUCUUGGCUACCAGGGGUGGGUUUGUGUCUGGCCUUCUUUCAAAACUUCUAAACUAUGGCUGAAUAUGUAAGGUUCAAAGCUUUGAUAGUAAAUACAACAAAAUAAAGCGUGUUAACAGAAAAUUAGCUACAGGUUUAAAAAGAUGACUGUAUAUGUUCAUUGGGUGUUUACUGGAGACACAGAGCCUCUUUACUUACAGACUAAUUUGAAGUUUAAUCUUUCUGAUUUUUGUACCAGAGUGCUGGAAAUACAAUGUAUAUUUGGUUGUGGGAAAUAUGAGAUCCCGUAUUUUAGUUAUGUAAGAAGCAGAAGAGAACCCAAGUUUUGUGUUCUAUGUGUGUGGGAUCUGUUCUCACUUUUGGAAGGAUUGAUCGCUACCAGCAAUUCUUUACUUUUCCUAGUGGGACCUUGUAUUAUCUUCUCUCUCUCUGUUUAAAGAGAAUAAAUCGGAAUUUAGGAAAUUAAGUUCAGAAGUAUCAUUUUUGUUUUAGUAGGAGGAGGAAGAGGAAAGCUACAGACGGCAGUAAUCCUACAGUACCAUACUGUCAGGUGUGGCGGCUCUUGCCUUAGGUCUUAUCACUCCAGACGGAGAGCAGAGUUAGGCUGAGCUCUGAGUUUCAGCCAGUCUGCUCUACAUAGCAAGUUCCAGGGCAACCAGGGCUAGACAGUGAGGUCCUAGCC